CUUCGCUGGAUUGUGGCCCAAAAGGAAUCAGGGGUUAUGAAUAAAAUUUCCUACACAAGGAGCGGCAUAUAGACAGAGAGUGAUUGCCUGGAGAUCCACCCAGACGGCUGAGUGUGCCGGUGGUUUGUGACUGUUGAUGAUGAAGCAGGAUGCCACGGUGCGGGUUUGUUCAGCCUCUCACCUGCUGCAGGACCUGGCCGUUGUUUCCAGUUUGGGUUUGUUACAAACACCGGCGCUAUGGACAACCGUGUUCAGGUCUAUGUGUGGAGGUCAUUUCUUUUUAGCACUGAAUAAUAUUCCGUUGUCUGGAUGGACCACAGUUUACGUAUCCACUCACCUACUGAGGGACGUCUUGGCUGCUUCCAAGCUUUGGCAACUAUGAAUAAAGCUGCUAUAAACAUCCGCG